UACUGGUUAUUGAAAGAAAUUUGUGCAAAUUUGAAUAGAAGAGUUACCUUAGGAUGCAAGCCAUUAUGAAGGUGAUGGCAGGGAGGACAUUGCACAUGGCCGCUGCAAAUGUUGCUGUUGUGUGCUUCAUGCCAAGAAAGGAUCAUUACUCAAGUAAGCCAAGCACCAGUAGUUUGAUGAAGAUCGACAGAGUCAUCUUUGGCCUUGUUUUCCUGUCAUCAACAGAUAAAAGGUUAACUGUUGUCUUAGUUUCUGUCCUUUGCAUGUCUCUGUUAUGCUUUGAUUCUUGCGUGCGAGUACAUUAGAUAAAUAUUUAGAUGGAGAGGGAGAUAGCAAGAGACUUGUCGAAGAUGAUCGCAAAAGGGGCCAUCACGAUUGUUGCUAUGGCGUGGCGGUACACAACGAGCACGUAAUUGCUUAUUCCCUCAUUCAGUGCAGCCUUACAGAUGACAUCCAUCCCCGAGAGGCCGAACUGCAAGAAGAUGACUGCGAUGAAGGGCUUCAGCCUCUGAUUCAGAAAGGUGGAGCUGUUGAAAUCGCAAGGGCUAGCCGUUGCGCUGUGGACAACAAUUGAUCACUACCUAAAAGAGUCUUGAUUUUCCUUGUGUGGAUCGUACACACACGAUGCGAUUGAAAGGAGGGAUUUCAUGUUUCGAUAUUACAUGAUUCGGCGUAUCAGAAUGAUCUUCUUCAAGGAUUCACUUCGAAAGAAAACCGGAGCACAUCAUGUGCAACACCAUGCACUGGACUGCCAGGAAGUCGAGAUGUAUCGGAUCCUCAGCCAAGAGAGGUUUGUUGCUGCCUUCACUUAUGCCGGAUCAAUUCAGCUAGGAAGAGGAGAUUGAAUAUGCUGAAAACAAAGCUCCAGAGAACCAAAGGGACGAGAAUUAUAUGUCUCAAGAACAAUCAGGAAUCGACACCCAAUCUUGUCUCUUCAAGUCCCACGUUGUAUCCAUCCUGCCAACUCCAUUUUCAUCAUCGCCUCGAGAUAUUUUGCUUAGAGAAAAAGGUUCAUGACUAAGCUGUAAACUCUCGAGUCUAGGAUAGGUAGACGUAUCAUUUUGCCAUAUAUAUGUAUCCUCCCAAGCGUACGUGUGGAGGUGGACAUAUACACAGCAUGAGAUGGUCCAGUCAUCCUCCCACGAUCAUGAAAAUUUGACUACAUGAAGGAAAAUUGAAUAAUGAAGAGCUUUGUGUUGCUAAUGGCAGGCAAUAAAAAAAUACUAGUGCUUUUCCCAGUGUACA